CACUUUCAGUAGGGAGGAAGGUAGUGUAGUUAACACCUGCACUAUUUGACGUUACCUACAGAAGAAAGCACCGGCUAACUCCGUGCCAGCAGCCGCGGUAAUACGGAGGGUGCGAGCGUUAAUCGGAAUUACUGGGCGUAAAGCGCAUGCAGGCGGCCUGUUAAGUCAGAUGUGAAAGCCCGGGGCGUUAACCUCGGAAUUGCAUUUGAAACUAGGCAGGCUAGAGUCUUGUAGAGGGGGGUAGGAAUUUCAGGUGUAGCGGUGAAAUAGCGUAGAGAUCUGAAGGAAUACCAGUGGCGAAGGCGGCCCCCUCGGACAAAGACUGACGCUCAGAUGCGAAAGCGUGGGGAGCAAACAGGAUUAGAUACCCUGGUAG
rnacentral:rRNA from 1 species